GUGUGUGUUGUAUUGGUGUAUGCAGUGUGUGUGUUGUGUUAGUGUAUGCAGUGUGUGUUGGGUUAGUGUAUGCAGAGUGUGUGUGUUGUAUUGGUGUAUGCAGUGUGUGUUGGGUUAGUGUAUGCAGCGUGUGUGUUGUAUUAGUGUAUGCAGUGUGUGUGUUGUAUAGGUGUAUGCAAUGUGUAUGUUGUGUUAGUGUAUGCAGUGUGUGUUGGGUUAGUGUAUGCAGCGUGUGUGUUGUAUUAGUGUAUGCAGAGUGUGUGUUGUGUUAGUGUAUGCAGUGUGUGUGUGUUGUAUUAGUGUAUGCAGAGUGUGUGUUGUGUUAGUGUAUGCAGUGUGUGUGUUAGUGUAUGCAGCGUGUGUGUAGUAUUAGUGUAUGCAGAGUGUGUGUGUUGUAUUGGUGUAUGCAGUGUGUGUGUGUUGUAUUGGUGUAUGCAGUGUGUGUGUUGUGUUAGUGUAUGCAGUGUGUGUUGGGUUAGUGUAUGCAGAGUGUGUGUGUUGUAUUGGUGUAUGCAGUGUGUGUUGGGUUAGUGUAUGCAGCGUGUGUGUUGUAUUGGUGUAUGCAGUGUGUGUGUGUUGUAUUGGUGUAUGCAGUGUGUGUGUGUUGUGUUAGUGUAUGCAGUGUGUGUGUGUUGGGUUAGUGUAUGCAGAGUGUGUGUGUUGUAUUGGUGUAUGCAGUGUGUGUUGGGUUAGUGUAUGCAGCGUGUGUGUUGUAUUAGUGUAUGCAGAGUGUGUAUGUGUUGUGUUAGUGUAUGCAGUGUGUGUUGGGUUAGUGUAUGCAGCGUGUGUGUUGUAUUAGUGUAUGCAGUGUGUGUGUUGUAUUGGUGUAUGCAGUGUGUGUGUUGUGUUAGUGUAUGCAGUGUGUGUUGU